AGAAAUGCAUGCGUGUUGGACUUAUGACACAACUGAAGUAUGUAACUGUAUUUUGUUAUUCCAUCUCUUUCUUAUUUUGUUAUGUGCUUAUACUUCAGACAUAGGUUAGGGACCUAGAAUACAUCAUGUGCGGUUACCAUCAAAGUUGUAGUUGUAGGUUAUAGUUACAAUCCUUCAGAAAUAAUCACGAGUUGGCCUAUCAUUGUUGUCAGGAACGCACAUUAUUGCCCUUAUUGUGUACGUUCAUUUUUCCUUAAAAAAAGGUAAUGCACACGACACGAUAGGGAUACAUCAUGCACAACAUCGGAAAAUGCUACAUAAAGGAGGAGAGUCUUACAAUACAUCUUGCUAAAUUAUGGUGUGUCUCUAUAGUACCCAAGGGUCCAAGAGAGUCUUACAAUAAAAUGCUACAUAUAACUAAAAGAGGAGAGUCCCUGCUGUGAGUAGCAAGUCAAUUUCUACCAGGGAAAACUAAUAAAUUCAUUUUUUUUUUCAAUGCUAAAUUUACUCGAAGAUUAUAUUUCUGUAUUUCCAAUAUGGUGUGGAAUGAGCGUACUAUAAUAAUUAUGGAUAACUUGUCGCUUCUGACAAAGUGCUCCACACACGACAAUGUCGGGACGAUAACUACAUGACCGAGGGAUCCAGCGGCCGCUGCUGGGCUGGGCUCGAGAUUCCUCGGCUGGAUUUAAUCAUCGUGCACGAGUCGUCCAAACUCUAUCGUCCCCGUAGCACUGCUCCAAGCUAAUAGUCUGAGUGUGUGUCUUCUUCAUUUUUACGUUCAUCAGUUUGUACCUUUUUUUUUAAAUAUUCAAUAUAUUUGACAGUAGGUCUGGUUUUGCCUAUCUUUCCUUGAUGUUGCCUCCAAAUUGAUUUCUUUUUUUUCUUUCAAGCUACAACAGUGAGUUCACCUAAGUAUCUUGAUGUGUCCUCGUAUAUGUUUGGCUUUUUGUUGGAAUGUUGUUGGUUGUCCUCUGAAGCGACACUUCUGAUGCCAACAUACCAAGGUGAGCUUCACCUACUUCCCCACUCUGUAUAUAUGCAAGCCUGUGUGAUGUACUCUGCUUCUUCCUCCCCUUUUAAUUAAUUAAUCUCUUACUAAGCAGAGCAUGCUCUUUAGGUUAAUAGCACAAACGAUAUAGUUGAAUUAGUCUUCUUUUACUGGUGGUUUUUGGUAACGACUUACUAUGCUUCACAUAUUUGGAAAAGCCUAUGUAAUUACGUUUCUGCUGUCAGAUUGUAUACCAUGUAAAUUACAGGAGCACAAUGUACCUUUGCCUUCAAAUACGAAAUUACUUGCGAGCAACUGAAUGCCAUCUAAAAUUCAUAGCUACAAAAGAAAGGCCUUGAUAUGCAAAUAACUCUCAUUUUAAAUCGUGUAGAGUGCAGGUACCAACUUGUCCUGCUUCAAUGAUCUGUGGCUCCGAAGGGAAUUUACUACUAGGAACAUAUGCAAUGUUUGGUUAUCUAUGUCCAUCUAACUGUCAAAAACAUCUGUGGAAUGCAAAAUGGACUGUGUAAUACUUCUUGAAGAGGCAAUGCUUGUUAUCUGUAUGCAAGUUUCUAACCGCAUUAGCAGGAAAAAGUUUGGUUUCUGUUAGUGUAAUCUUCAAUAUAUCAUUUUUGCUGCUUGGAACCGGACCUUCGAUCUUCUGUUCCGCAUGAUAUUUAUUCUCCGGUGAAGUAGUAAAAUAAAUGCAUAGUCUGCCGGCCCUCGCUAAGAGCCCAGCUGAUUUAAAAUGUGCCAGUGUGCUCCUUCUAUAUCUACAUGUGAUGCACAUUUAUGCCUGACCAAUCCAUUGGAUUGAAUUUGUACUGCAGGUUUUACUAAAAAAAUCCAUUACCAUCACAAGUUGUAUGUGGCACAGGUGCUUAUUUAGGCAAUGCGUAGUCUUAAUGUGAGGAGGUGCCGAGAUACACGAGGGGUUGGAGCAGGACUGCAGGAGGAGGCGAGGAUAUGUUUUGUUUCAGAUCCACCUGAUUAAUCCCAAAUUUUGCAAGGUCUGCUUCUUAUGCAGAGCUUUCUUUUGAUGAGCAGCCUAGCCAAUUAAUUACAGUUAGUCCUUUUAGUUAGAUUUAGUAUUAGGUGAAUUAUUUGCUUUUGUGUCGAUGAACAAAUGAGUCUUAUUUAUUUUUGCUUUAGAUUAUUAUCGUUUUCGAUGUUGGUUUGAAGUUAAAAGUGAGAAAUAGAUUAGGUGACAGGGAUAUUGUGUGACAAACUUUUAUUUUGUCUUGUGUUUAAUCCUAUUUAGCUUUUGUAGAUAACUCUAUGAUAGCAUCUGUACUGACAACAGUUAGAUCGUGUAUGUCGUAGAAUGUUGAGUGCUUGAAUUAACUUGAUGACCACAAUAAUUUGUAUAGCCGGAAGAAAUAGUGAUUAUAUUCGAAUCACCUCCUUUUAGCUAAGAGUAGUAGGCAAUCUCACUUUAGCUAAGAGGGGCAGGCAAGUGUGAGUCAAAUAAAAGGAAUGCAAGAACUCAAAUUUAGCCUGAUAGACGGUUAUUUAAAUAAUUCUGUUUUACUUUAUGGGAAUUGCACAAUGUAGAUAUUCAUAGUGGAAUGGGCUUCUUUUCUUCCAUAAUGUAUUUCAUGAGCAUGGUCUCCAACUCCUCAUCUUGAAACAUUAGUUUGGAGAUUUCUAGAGAAAAUAAAAUUCUUGUAAUAAUUUCAGAUUUUACAUGAUCAGUAGAGUAGGAAGGCUUUCAAGAAUUCGUAAGAUAGUUUUGAACUCUUCUCAAACUGAAAGGAUCAUAUACUGACGCAAACAAUUUAUGUAUUGUUUUGUGCCAGUUUGGAUUACUCUGAGCAAUUCUCUCCGGAGUUGAGAGUACUCUGAGCACUGCCCAUAGCGCGCCACGACGACUGUUUGCACAUCAGGAGCCUCGCGACGCAGGUCAUCUCUCUAUCUUCUCCUCCUCCAGCUUCCCUCCCUUCAGGUCUCAUUGUAGCCUUUAUGUGCGAGAGGCUUGAUUAUGGGCAUAAGCAGAACAGUUUUCCAUUUCAUUGGUGCGUGCGCAAGAGCAAUGAACUCGGAAGGGUUUCUUUUCUAAUGUGAUUUGCUUCAUUCCUAAACAUAGCUCAUCGUCUGUGCCCUCUUUUUGGUCCAUGACAUGGAUAUUCCUAUUGAAACAAAGGUCUGGAAUUCACAGUUUGAUGGAUUGGUAGUCGUUACAGUAUUCCUCGUUUUCCUGUUUGCCUGGUCUCCCAUUGCUAUGUUGGAUGAAGUUUUACUAUGAGAAGUUACAUGCAUGAGGCAUGAUAGAUGCAUUCCUCAUAUUCUUUCUAUCUGCUAACUUUGACUUCCUUUUUUCUCAUACAUUGCUCCUUCUAUAGUCCUCAUAUGACCACAUCCUCAGAAGACAAUAACAAGUCUGCUUAUUCAUGCAUGCACACCCUCAGAAGACCACAAUCGGCCUGAGAAAUCUUCUCUGCUCAAACUAUGUAUGAUUAUCUACAUGAGGCAUCUCUGCCUAUGUUGCUUGCUUUUUGAAAGCAUUGUAAAUGGCUAUCAAAACUUCUUAUAACGCUAUGUAUCAGCAUCGUACCUAAGUAUAUAUUUCCUUGUGACUAAAUAUUCUGACGAGCUUGCUUCGAAUGCUUGUUUUGCUCUCCGCCCUUUGCGCCAUUGACGCAACGGGUCAUCUAGUAAGUAUUCAAAUUAG
rnacentral:lncRNA from 1 species